rnacentral:rRNA from 1 species
CGGCAGGCUUAACACAUGCAAGUAGAACGGUAACAGUCCUUCGGGAGCUGACGAGUUGCGAACGGGUGCGUAACGCGUAUGCAACCUACCUAUAACUGAGGGAUAGCCCAUAGAAAUGUGGAUUAAUACCUCAUAACAACUAAAGAUGGCAUCAUCUUAAGUUUAAAACUCCGGUGGUUAUAGAUGGGCAUGCGUGACAUUAGCUAGUUGGUGAGGUAACUGCUCACCAAGGCAACGAUGUCUAGGGGUUCUGAGAGGAUGAUCCCCCACACUGGUACUGAGACACGGACCAGACUCCUACGGGAGGCAGCAGUGAGGAAUAUUGCGCAAUGGAGGAAACUCUGACGCAGCCAUGCCGCGUGCAGGAUGACUGCCCUAUGGGUUGUAAACUGCUUUUAUAUAGGAAGAACUACAGAUACGUGUAUUUGUUUGACGGUACUAUACGAAUA